GAUGAACGCUGGCGGCGUGCCUAAUACAUGCAAGUCGAGCGAAUGGAUUAAGAGCUUGCUCUUAUGAAGUUAGCGGCGGACGGGUGAGUAACACGUGGGUAACCUGCCCAUAAGACUGGGAUAACUCCGGGAAACCGGGGCUAAUACCGGAUAACAUUUUGAACCGCAUGGUUUGAAAUUGAAAGACGGCUUCGGCUGUCACUUAUGGAUGGACCCGCGUCGCAUUAGCUAGUUGGUGAGGUAACGGCUCACCAAGGCAACGAUGCGUAGCCGACCUGAGAGGGUGAUCGGCCACACUGGGACUGAGACACGGCCCAGACUCCUACGGGAGGCAGCAGUAGGGAAUCUUCCGCAAUGGACGAAAGUCUGACGGAGCAACGCCGCGUGAGUGAUGAAGGCUUUCGGGUCGUAAAACUCUGUUGUUAGGGAAGAACAAGUGCUAGUUGAAUAAGCUGGCACCUUGACGGUACCUAACCAGAAAGCCACGGCUAACUACGUGCCAGCAGCCGCCGUAA
rnacentral:rRNA from 1 species